AAACUAACAAGGAUUCCCCUAGUAACGGCGAGUGAAGCGGGAAGAGCUCAAAUUUGAAAUCUGGCGUCCUCAGGGCGUCCGAGUUGUAAUCUAUAGGAACGUUUUCCGUGCCGGCUCAUGUACAAGUCCCUUGGAACAGGGCGUCAUAGAGGGUGAGAAUCCCGUACUUGACAUGAACUACCGGUGCUCUGUGAUACGUCUCCAACGAGUCGAGUUGUUUGGGAAUGCAGCUCAAAAUGGGUGGUAAAUUCCAUCUAAAGCUAAAUAUUGGUGUGAGACCGAUAGCGAACAAGUACCGUGAGGGAAAGAUGAAAAGCACUUUGGAAAGAGAGUUAAACAGUAUGUGAAAUUGUUGAAAGGGAAACGAUUGAAGUCAGUCAUGUCCUUCAGAUUCAGCUGGUUCUGCCGGUGUAUUUCUGUUGGAUGGGGUCAACAUCCAGUUUUGGAUGCCGGAAAAAGGUGGGAGGAAGGUAGUACCCCCGGGUAAACUUAUAGCCUCACUAUUGCAUACGGUGACCGGGACUGAGGAACGCAGCUUGCCUUUAUGGCCGGGUUCGCCCACGUACAAGCUUAGGAUGUUGACAUAAUGCUUUAAACGAC
rnacentral:rRNA from 1 species